UACAUAUUUGAAUGUAAAUCUUCUCUUUUGUAGAAUCCUAAUUUCCUCUUCUCCUCACCAACCCAAUCAUCCAAAAAUGGUGACCUAAUUCAUGCUUUUUUUCUUUAUUUUCCUCAAAUCUUAGCUCUUCAAACCUAAAAGUUGAAUCUUUGAAGGAAUAAUUGUUCUCCAAAAUUUAAGGAUCAUUCAGGUGAUUGUGUGGUUGAUGAUGUGCUCUGAUAGGGUUGUCCGAGUGAUGUUUCAGUAUUGAGGUGACAAGUUGAUGAGAUUAUGAGAACGAUAUGUAUGUGGACUACAAGUCCAGCAUGAGUCCUUUUUUGGAAGCUAAAUGCUCGGCAAGGUGUAUACGGCAUGUUGUGCGACGACCUUGGUACCACCACAUCAUCCUGUCACUUUAUGAUCAUCUCAUUACAUCACAUUGACCAACUUUAUUGUGUUGUGUAAUUUGUUUAUAUGUCGAUUUAAAUGUCAAUUCUACUCUCAUGUGUUCACAUUAUUCACGCUGUUCUAUAUAAAUGAGCGACAACGAUGUUGAAAUGAGAUCUUUCUGCAUGUAGGACUGGAAGCACUUAAUAGCUUAUUUUUAAGUCUGUUUAGUUGCUUACAUUCAGGGUCUGACUUACUGAGUACAUGUGGAUUGUAAUCAUGACCCCCUACUUUUGUUAACCUUUUGUUGCAGUCUAUAGUCAGGUGAUCCUCGUUGCGGCUGGUUA